GCUGCUUCAUAGGGUAUCGCACAGUAGCUCCCUUCUACCUGGUAGCCCCCAUGCACCAGGCCAGCUGCACUCUCUGUGUGGCCCUCCUGGUCUUCUGGGGUUGCAGAUGACUGGAAGUCUCCACAUUGCACGGUUUCACGCUGAGAAUUUGUGUCAAAGGGAGAAAUCUGCUGCCUAACUCAAGCCUUAGAGAGAAUUUCAGUUACCUUGUGUCCAUGCGUCUCUGCACCCUUAUUUUGAGUGGAAGAUGAGGUGGGUGACCCAAGUAGACCCACAGGGACUGUGAAGAUGGUCAGCCCCAAUUAAACCACACUGGUGGGCCACUAGGAAGAGGGAGUUGUUUGGUAAAGCAUCGCUGCUGGAUGAAAAGAGAGGAAAACAACCAGGAGGAAAACAAUACAUUUACAUUAAGAAGUGUUACAAGGAUGAGUUUCCAUGCCAAAACUUCUGUAAAUGAAAUUUCUAAUAACUCUCAUCAGAGGUUAAAUAUUUUACUCUUUUGUUUUUUAGCAAAGGAAAUGUCAGAUGAACAAAUCACCUGAAAUCACAGAGACAUUGUAAAGAGAGAAGAGCAAUGUAAUAAUCUUGUAAAGGUAGAGAUUACAUCUUGGGGUCAUUUGGGGAAAGUCCUUCCAGGGCUGGUAAUAAGAGGUCAGUCUUGAUUCGGUUUCCUGAGGAAAUGUCUUCUCUGGGGAGUCAGGAGAGCCUGGGGGCCAAGGCUGCGAGGUGGACUCUUGGAUGACACGUGACAAUGUUUUCACUGACACUAGCACUGCGGGAAAGGUGUGAUCAGCUCUGAGGGAGUUCCAGAAAUCUGAGCAUGAGCCACAAAGGUUUGAAUCACAAAACAGAGGUGCUCAUCUGCCUAAGAACAUCCAGUCCUUGACAGCGACAGUGCACAGUGGCAAAAGCCACUGAAUGCAGUUCCUUCUCCUGGUGCACAGGAAUUGUUCCCAAAGGCCCUGGGUGUGAGGGGCAGGGCACUGUCGUCCUGCUGCUCCUCUACCCUGAGGCACUCUGGGCUGUUCACCUGUCUUGCAGGAGCUGUCAUGGGAAGUGCUAUCGUUUGAAAACUGGUGGUCAACUCAACACCAGCUGGAUUACAUCAGCAUGCAUUGAGAGAAGAUGCUCCACCUGAGGAGGGUUGUCAGGGAUAAAUAGGUGGGGAAGAAGAGAGGUGUUGGGAGGGAUUGAGGUGUUAAGGAGGCAUUAUGGGUUCUCCUACGAGUUGCUGUCUGAGCUGUUGGUUCUGGAGAACCUCUGGUCUUCACAUCGAGCACUGCUUCCUGGCUCCGGAGGGGAAGACGUGCUGCCUGGGCUCCUGGAUGAACUCGUCAUGCUGCUUCAUGGCACUUACCCGACUGUGCUUGUCGUCGGAGGAGCUUGAGGCCUCCGUGUCACUGAGGACAGCUGUGGUGCCCUUCAGGGUAGCCCUGGUCUUUGUUGAAGGAAGCAGGGAUGGAGGGAGGAGCAGUCUCUGGAGCCUGGUUGGCUAAGGACGAACGCAGUCUUCCCUGUGCUGAAACUCGGCCAUCAUGGUGAGGGACGCUGCUGUCAGCACCGACUGUCCAUCGAUGGGGGAAGCCCUAGACACAGCCUGGCACCAUCAGGAGGCUGGGGAUGUAGCACAGAGCCUCACUACCAUGAGGAAAGUGCUUUCGCAUGGAGCUGUGUCUCCCAGCCCUGAAACACUUCUGCUGUGUGUUUAACUCUCAGUUGUUGGAAGCUGACCAGGGCAAAGGCAACAGAGAGCUCUGGGAAACACCUGCUUCACUGGACUCCCCUCAUUCCACCACUCUCCCAGUCCUGUUUCUGCUCCCACACAGUAAUCAAGAAAGUCAGCGAAUCCCGUGGUCAUUAAGAUGUAGGCAAGGAGACUGGGAAAUUGUAUGCUGGCUCCUAAGGUUCUGCCUGGUUUGUACGGAUGUUACUGCUUUUCCAAAAUUCAUUACUGGGCACAGAAAAUUACAUGGUAGUGUGCACAGCAGGAAAGUGUCAGCUACAGAAUGUUCAAGGGGACAGAAACACUGGAGUAUUUGUGAGCUGUUAUGAGUCCUUCCGCAGAACUCAGAGGGACUUAUGAAUAAGUAAUAUGAUUUAAAAAAUGAACUGACAGAUUGUGAAACUCAUUUGAUCAUUAGAAAACCCCAACAGAAGUAGUCGCUUGAGAGAGUGUAAAGCAGUUCAUGGGAACAGCAGACACUGGAAGGCAGGUCCAGGUGGGCUGUUUUUAAAUAAAAGGUUUCACAAGAUAGGAAGGAAGGAAGGGACCUUUUCCAGGGAACAGGGAACGUGAGAUGGGGGAGCGGGAAGGGAAGGGAGGGCAAAGUGAUAGAACAAAAAGAGUAAAAGGAAAAGUGAUGAAAAUAAGGUUCGCAAAUGGGGAGGAAACCAAGCCCCGGAGGAAGAGAGUGGGGUUGGAGGGAAAAGGAGAAUCAAGAUGCGUUACAUGCACGUGCCAGUUCUCCGCAGUAAAUGUGAUCAGUAUAUAAAAUGGGGCCUAACAAAAAAUAUACAAAACCAAGUUUAUGGUAACACAAGCAAAAGGAGCUGGUGUCUUGAUUCAGAAAAGUUUAAGUUCCAUGUUGAAAAGGUCCAGUUAAUUUUGAUGAUGAACAGUUGUCAAAAUACCGAACUUGAAAUGUCCCUCAAAUUGCUUUGAAAUUUCUGAAUUUUAAAGAAAGCUAAAUAAGAUGAGUGUGUAUGAAAGAGAAUAAAUUUGGGGGAGUCUGAUUUUUUAAAUUCUUUAUAUGUUUUAGACAGAAGUCCUUUGUCUGAGGGACAGUUCACUAAGAUUUUUUCCCAGUUUGUUGGUUUUCUUUUCACUGUGCUGGAGAUUUCUUUUGACGUGCAGAAACUUUUUAAUAAGACGUGAUCCCAGUUACUGAUUCUGGAAAGUAUUUCCCGUGCGAUUUGAGUCCUGUUCAUGAAUUCUCUGCCUACCCCUAUGUCAUCAAGGUUUCUACCCAAUUUUGAAGGUUUUAUCUUCCAAUAGAUUUAGUGUUUCUGUUUUAAUAUUCAGAUCUUUGAUCCAUUUAGAUUUUAAUUUAGUAUAUGGUGAUAGGCAAUGGGUCUAUUUUAAGUUUUCGGCAUGUGGAGAGCCAGGUUUUUCAACACCGUUUAUUAAAGAUGCUGUCAUUCUUCCAGUGAACAUGUUUGGCGCCUUUAUCAAAAAUAAGGUGGUUGAGUGUGUUUAUACUUGUGGUUGUAUCUUCUAAUGUAUUCCAUUGAUCUUUGGCUCUGUUUUUAUUCCAGUACUAUGCUGAUUUUACUACAGUUGCUUUUUAGUAUAAUUUCAAGUCAGGGAUUGUGAUGCUUCCUGCCUUGCCUUUGCUGCUAUUCCACUUCUAGGCAUAUUCCCAGAAAAACUGAAGACAUCAUACCACAGUGAUAUAUGUGCACCCAUGUUUAUAGCAGCACAAUUUGUAAUAGCCAGAUCUUGGAAGCAACCUAAGUGUCCAUCAACUGAGGAAUAGAUAAAAAAGAUGUGGUAUUUUUAUACAAUAGAGUACUACUCAGCUAUAAAGGAUGAUCACAUUGAGAUAUUGAUAAAUAAAUGGGCACAGCUUGAAACCAUACUCAUAAGCGAAAUAAAUCAAACUCACCUGUAUAAAUGCUGAAUAGUUUCCCUAAUGUAAGAAAUGGUAAGAAUACAUAAAAGUAUGUGAUAAACAUGAUUCCCCAUUAUACUGCUUUGAAGCCUUAUGUUUUCAUUAAUUGGAAUGGUUCUAUUCUUGGUUGUUUGAUUUUAUUGUCUGUGAUGGUAUGAACAGUUUGAAGAACAAAACCCAAUAUAAUAGCUAGUGCUAAUAUAAUAUCUUAUUUUGAAGUCCCAUGAAGCUUUUGUUCUUCUGUCUCCAUCAGUUUAUCAUGUUGUAUCUUACUGGAUUUUAUUAUAUGUGAUAGAAUAAACAAAUUUUUUAUAGAUAAGGAGAUAAUAUAGAAACCAUUCAUUUUCUGUUAGUUGGAUCUAAAUACCCUGUAAUGCUUUCACUCUCUUAAAUGGUUUUACACUGUCAUGUUGUGUUUGAUGCUAUAAUAUAUGAAGUUAUACUCAAAUAUUUCAAGGAAAGAGACACUAUGGUAGCUACUGUUAUGUCGGGUUAUCUUGUGGUGAAACAGUAUGUUGCUUAAAUUGUUAUGUUCUGACCUGUGUUAUUAUGUUGUUAU